UGGGGAAUAUUGGACAAUGGGGGGAACCCUGAUCCAGCCAUGCCGCGUGUGUGAAGAAGGUCUUAUGGUUGUAAAGCACUUUAAGCGAGGAGGAGGGUACUGGUAUUAAUACUACCAGGUACUGGACGUUACUCGCAGAAUAAGCACCGGCUAACUCUGUGCCAGCAGCCGCGGUAAUACAGAGGGUGCGAGCGUUAAUCGGAUUUACUGGGCGUAAUGCGUGCGUAGGCGGCUAAUUGAGUCGGAUGUGAAAUCCCCGAGCUUAACUUGGGAAUUGCAUUCGAUACUGGUUAGCUAGAGUGUGGGAGAGGAUGGUAGAAUUCCAGGUGUAGCGGUGAAAUGCGUAGAGAUCUGGAGGAAUACCGAUGGCGAAGGCAGCCAUCUGGCCUAACACUGACGCUGAGGUACGAAAGCAUGGGGAGCAAACAGG
rnacentral:rRNA from 1 species